AUUGAACGCUGGCGGCAUGCUUUACACAUGCAAGUCGAACGGUAACAGGCCGCAAGGUGCUGACGAGUGGCGAACGGGUGAGUAAUGCAUCGGAACGUGCCCAGUCGUGGGGGAUAACGCAGCGAAAGCUGUGCUAAUACCGCAUACGAUCUAUGGAUGAAAGCGGGGGACCGUAAGGCCUCGCGCGAUUGGAGCGGCCGAUGUCAGAUUAGGUAGUUGGUGGGGUAAAGGCCCACCAAGCCAACGAUCUGUAGCUGGUCUGAGAGGCCGACCAGCCACACUGGGGUUGAGACACGGCCCAGACUCCUACGGGAGGCAGCAGUGGGGAAUUUUGGACAAUGGGCGCAGGCCUGAUCCAGCAAUGCCGCGUGCAGGAAGAAGGCCUUCGGGUUGUAAACUGCUUUUGUACGGAACGAAAAGGUCUGGGUUAAUACCCUGGGCCGAUGACGGUACCGUAAGAAUAAGCACCGGCUAACUACGUGCCAGCCGCCGCGGUAACAC
rnacentral:rRNA from 1 species